GACGAACGCUGGCGGCGCGCCUAAUACAUGCAAGUCGAACGAGCACGGACUUCGGUCCAUAUGUGCGAGUGGCGAACGGGUGAGUAACACGUGAGAAACCUGCCUCGGAGACCGGGACAACCAUUGGAAACGAUGGCCAAUACCGGAUGUCCUCUUAUCGUCGCAUGGCGGUCUGAGGAAAUGAUCCGUCGCUCCGGGAGGGUCUCGCGGCCUAUCAGCUUGUUGGUGAGGUAACGGCUCACCAAGGCAUCGACGGGUAGCUGGUCUGAGAGGACGAUCAGCCACACUGGGACUGAGACACGGCCCAGACUCCUACGGGAGGCAGCAGUAGGGAAUCUUGCACAAUGGGCGAAAGCCUGAUGCAGCGACGCCGCGUGGGGGAUGAAGGCCUUCGGGUUGUAAACCCCUUUCAGUAGGGACGAAAAUGACGGUACCUACAGAAGAAGAUCCGGCCAACUACG
rnacentral:rRNA from 1 species